CGGAUCCCGACUCGGUCCGGUCCGAUCUCGUUGACGAUCGCCUCGACGAUUUCUAGAGCGAAUCGGCAACGGUUUUGUAAGGAGCCGCCGUAUUGGUCAGUCCGGUCGUUUAAUUGGUCUUUCAUGAAUUGCUCGAUUAGCAAGUCUGAAAUCAUUAACAACAAGCGGAAUCUCCUCUGUAGUUAGCUUCCUUGGAGAUGAAAAUCGUGCAACACCAAUGCCAUUGCUUCGUGGUUGAGGAAAUAGUUUUUUAUCUGUGGAAGAUAUUGGGGCUUGCCCAUUUGGCUGUAAAUCUGCUCAAUAGAUGAAGAAUUUAAAAGGUUGGUUAAAAGCAUGUCGACUUAAAAGACAACUUAGUAACCAUUGCAAGAAUUAGCCACUUACUUUUCUUUUUAUACCAAUAGGGGCAAUGUACUUUUUAUACCUAGUAUUUUGAAAAUGUUCUGUUACAAUGUUGUAAACAGAAGAAAAAAAAAAGUAGUAUGCUAUAACAAAUUAAUCAGUUAAGUUAAA